rnacentral:lncRNA from 1 species
CUUUUUCUGAAGGUGCUGAAAAUUUUAUAUCAGAGAGAAGUCCAUUUAUUCUGAAAGACAUAAAGCUUCUGACUUACUGAGAGGACAAUGUUUUAGUAGCACCUUCCGCUGCUGCCCUGUCAUUCUCCGUCACGUCCUCAACCCACUGGCUCUUUUUGUUGUGGGUCCCAAGCAGCUGUGCAGAGUCAACCGCAAUACCCUCCAGGCUUCUGAAGUUCCCAAUCAGUGGAUCAGCUUGUGUUUAUAAACACAGAACAGAUUUUGUAUCGCAUCACCAA